GCAGUUUUCUUUUCACAACUGUCUUUCUGUGUGAUGAGAUUAAUAAUUUACUGGUGCACCCAGUGGUGUAUUUGGGGCUAUACGCAGGUACAGUGCCUUUGGAAAGUGUUCAGAAUCCUUUACUUUUUCCACAUUUUGUCACUCUACAGCAGUGGUCACCAAACUACGGCCCGCGGGCCGGAUACGGCCCGUCAGCACAUUUGGCCCGGCCCUCUGAACAAUACCAGAGACGCUAUCGAAUUUUUUUCCUAUUUGGCCUCCAGAAAAAAAAUUCUAGGCCCGGCCCUGUCAAAGAGAGAACGGAAUAAUGGCGAAAAGGUUAGGUAAGAGAAAAAUUGAUUUUUUGUUCAAUGCAAAGAAAAGGCUGUUUGUCUCAUCUGUCAAGACGCGGUAUUCAAAGAAUACAAUCUUCGCCGACACUAUGAAUCCCGUCACAAAGACAAGUACGAUAGCUUGCAAGGCCAAAUACGAGCAGACAAACUCUCAAAGCUAAAAAGUGGACUACUAUCUCAGCAGAAUACAUUUGUACACCAAGCUCAGCUGAACCAGGCAUCCGUUCGGGCCAGCUUUCGGGUUGCUAAACUGAUAGCAAGAAGCGGUAAGCCUUUCACUGACGGAGAGUUUGUUAAGAAAUGUAUGGAUGCUGUCGCGGAGGAGGUGUGUCAUUUAAUGCCGUAAGUCUGUCGGCGAGUACAAUCACCAGACGCGUUGAAGAAAUCGGGAGUAAUGUAUAUGCCCAGCUGCAGCAGAAGACGAAAGAAUUUGACUUUUUUUCAUUAGCACUGGAUGAGAGCACGGACGUGCAAGACACAGCGCAACUGCUCAUUUUUAUUCGUGGAGUUAGCGCAAACUUUGAGAUAUGCGAGGAGCUGGCAGCCCUCCAAAGUCUCAAAGGGACUACAACGGGAGAGGAUAUUUUUGACAAAGUGUGCCAAACCAUGGAGAAGUUGGACCUGGACUGGUCAAAGCUAGCUAGCAUCACGACUGACGGGGCUCCUAGCAUGGUGGGCGAAACUCGCGGUCUAAUAGGACGCAUGAACCGGGAGUUGGAAAAAAGGGGUCUCACCGCCCCGCUACGAGUCCACUGCCUAAUUCACCAGCAAGCACUGUGCUGCAAAGUGUUGAAGUGGGAUUCUGUAAUGAAGGUUGUGGUGUCGUGCAUAAACUUCAUCAGAGCAAAGGGACUUAAACACAGGCAGUUCCAAGAAUUCCUGUCUGAACUGGAGUCUACGCACGGAGAUGUGCUGUACUACACAGAGGUCCGAUGGCUGAGCCGGGGCAGAGUUUUGAGGCGUUUUUACGAGCUGCUACCCGAAAUUAACGCAUUUCUUCAUUUAAAAGACAAAACGGUCCCAGAGCUGAUCGACCCAGAAUGGAAAUGGCACCUCGCAUUUUUAACAGACGUGACAGAAAUACUUAACAGCCUUAACUUGCAGCUACAAGGCGAGGGAAACUCAUUUGCGACAUGUAUUCACACAUAAAAGCAUUUGAGGUGAAAUUAGCGCUGCUUUUGGAACAAGUGAAAAAGCGCAACUUUGUCCAUCUUCCUGCUACCCAAAACCUGUCGACAGAGAACCCAGCGGUCCCGUUCCCAGCUGAAAAGUGCAUGGAAGCACUGGAAAUGCUGAAGGCGGAGUUCGGUGUGCGAUUCAGUGAACUACAUGUUCAUGCAAAAGAAAUCCGUCUUUUCAGAACCCCUUUGUUGCCGACAUUGAUGAAGCCCAGCCUUCAUAUCAGUUUGAGUUGGCUGAGUUACAGAACUGUGAUGUUCUGAAAGACGCAUUCAAGCCCAACAGUCUCAUUGACUUCUAUGCCGCCCUCCCAAACGACACAUAUCCAAACAUCAAAAACACGCAAUGAAAAUGUCCACAGUUUUUGGCAGCACGUAUAUCUGCGAAAAACCUUUUCUCGCAUGAAACUGCUGAAAACCCCGAUGAGAUCAAGAUUGACAGAUGAACAUUUGCAUCAGUGCUUGAGACUGGCUGUAACUAGAAUGGAACCUGAUAUUCAACUUCUCACCAGCCAGAUGCAGGCCCACAGUUCACACUGAUGAACAUACAUAGGGAAGUUGAUGAGAGAGAGCUGCAAACAGCGGUGUCUACAAGCCUACUGGAACCUACAAAAGGAUUAUAAGGAAGGAACACAAUAACUUUAAGAGACUGCUCAUAUGUGUCAGAGAGAUUCUGCUCUGACAACUGAGCUGAACUUUUAUCUGUUAAGAUUGUGCAUGGCACGACAGAAAGUUAAUGUUCCAUGGCUUUUUUUUCUAUGAAGAACCCAGAGAGAGUUAUUUAGUUAUUAUUUAUUUCCUGUUUUUUCUGUGAAGAACUCAGAGAGGGUUAUUUAGUUAUUAUUUAUUUCAUUAAUAGUGUUAUUAUUUGUUUCCUGACUUUUUUUCUGUAAAGAACCUGGAAAGGGUUAUUUGGUUAUGUGUGGCUUUCUGGAAAACAAUAAAUUUUUUAAGCUCCC